rnacentral:rRNA from 1 species
ACUUCACACUGCAGGAAACUGUGAUGAGGGAACUCCAAGUGCAUGCACAAUGUGUAUGCUUUUCCUUGCUUUUAAUCGGUUUGGGAAUAAGGGCUGGGAAAGACCGGUGCCAGCCGCCGCGGUAAUACCGGCAGCUCAAGUGGUCGUCGCUUUUAUUGGGCCUAAAACGUCCGUAGCCUGUUUGGUAAAUCUGUGGGUAAAUCAACCAGCUCAACUGGUUGAAUUCUGCAGAGACUGCCAGACUAGGGACCGGGAGAGGUGUGGGGUACUCUCGGGGUAGGGGUAAAAUCCUGUCAUCCUGGGAGGACCACCAGUUGCGAAGGCGCCACACUGGAACGGAUCCGACGGUCAGGGACGAAGCCUAGGGGCACGAACCGGAUUAGAUACCCGUGUA